GAGCCCUGGGCGGGAAACUUAGUCGGCCAACUGCAGUCAUUGGCGCCAUCCUGAUAUCCAUUCAGGCAGGAAAAUGCAUCGAAUGGUACUCCUGCUCUCUCUGCUGGCCAUGGCGGCGGCAGCACCAGCGCCGAAGCCGAUCGUCGUGUAUCCGCACGUGUCCAGCGUGUACCACCCGCCUGUGGUGUCCGCGCCGCUCGUGCACGCGCCCGUCGUCUCGCACGUCAGCACGUUGUACCACCACCCGCACGUGCUGCCUGUGCACCCGCUUUAUUUUUGAUUGCGAUUGAAAUGUAAUAAAGUUUAAUGUUUUGUGUAAGAAAGGUCUUUUAUUUAAAUAUUAUGUCUUACGUGAC